AUUGAACGCUGGCGGCAGGCCUAACACAUGCAAGUCGAGCGGAGCGGCGGACGGGUGAGUAAUGCCUAGGAAUCUGCCUGGUAGUGGGGGAUAACGUCCGGAAACGGGCGCUGCUCCCGCACACUUUCAGAUGAGCCUAGUUCGGAUUAGCUAGUUGGUGGGGUAAAGGCCUACCAAGGCGACGAUCCGUAACUGGUCUGAGAGGAUGAUCAGUCACACUGGAACUGAGACACGGUCCAGACUCCUACGGGAGGCAGCAGUGGGGAAUUUUGGACAAUGGGGGAAACCCUGAUCCAGCCAUCCCGCGUGUGCGAUGAAGGCCUUCGGGUUGUAAAGCACUUUUGGCAGGAAAGCGGUACCUGCAGAAUAAGCACCGGCUAACUACGUGCCAGCCGCCGCGGUAAUUC
rnacentral:rRNA from 1 species